GAUGAACGCUAGCUACAGGCUUAACACAUGCAAGUCGAGGGGUAACGAGAGGAAAGCUUGCUUUCCUUGUCGACGACCGGCGCACGGGUGAGUAACGCGUAUCCAACCUGCCCCCAACUAAGGAAUAACCUUGCGAAAGUAAGACUAAUACCUUAUAAUUUCCUCAGAUGUCAUCUGACGAGGAAUAAAGAUUUAUCGGUUGUGGAUGGGGAUGCGUCUGAUUAGCUUGUUGGCGGGGUAACGGCCCACCAAGGCAACGAUCAGUAGGGGUUCUGGGAGGAAGGUCCCCCACAUUGGAACUGAGACACGGUCCAAACUCCUACGGGAGGCAGCAGUGAGGAAUAUUGGUCGAUGGGCGGAAGCCUGAACCGGCCAAGUAGCGUGCAGGAUGACGGCCCUAUGGGUUGUAAACUGCUUUUAUACAGGAAUAAAGUUAGCCACGUGUGGUUAUUUGUAGGUACUGUAUGAAUAAGGACCGGCUAAUUCCGUGCCAGCCGCCGCCGUAA
rnacentral:rRNA from 1 species